rnacentral:lncRNA from 1 species
AAUGACACAAAUAGAAUACUUUUUGUGCCACUAUUCAUUUCUUGAUCCUGGUAACAGAUGUUUUUGGGAAAAAAAGUCCAGUGCCAGAAUGUUAAAUCUGCUCCUGACUAUCUCUAGAACUUUAGCAAAUUAUGGUGAUAGGAUGUAAUCGCAAUGGAUGUAAUAAUGUCUUAUCUUGUAAAUAGUGAGUGCUAAAAUUAUGUUUGUUUAAAUCAGUGCUGGUUUUCA